AUGAAGAUGGGAACAGAUGGACAGGCUGAAAAGGACGAAGGAGAAAUUGUGGCAGGCAAGUCAGAAUCUGAACAAUGUCCUGAUGAAGAGGAGGAAAUGGAGUCUAAAGCAGACAGAAGGACAGGUGGCUUAAGAUGUUUCCAAGGAAACAGAGAGACCUCGGAGGAUGAGCCUAGUGAACUGGGGGCUGCUGUUAUUACUUCCUCUGAGCCUGUAUUUCUUGUGCCUCAGCUCAGCUCACAACCUCAGUACCUGGACUGUGACUUUGAUGUGGAGCUAACAGCAGAAGUGAUAGUUGAGAAUGGCGCAUCUCUUGCUUUGUUGACAUCUGUUACCCCAAAUCUUGGUUACCAGAAGCCAGGAUCCUUCUUAAAUGGAAAUUUUCUCUUCCCACCAUCUUUAAAGAAAAAGAGAGUUUCUAUAGAACGUUUUCUGCCUGCAGGCUCUUUUCCUGGAUGUUACUCAAGUGUGACUCAAGCCUCAGGACUGACCUGUUCCCUCAAAAACUCUGAUAGGGUCAUAGAGAUGGCCAAAAGCCCUCUACCCUCAUCACCCUCCAACUCACCAUCAUCUCCUUCAUCUGCUCCCUCUUCCCCCUCGUCCUCCCCCUCAUCUUCAUCUCCUGGUGGAAUGGGUACAAACUACCGUGAGGAUGAGGACAGAGGCAAUGCUGGAGACAGCAGGGUCAACAAAGGAACUGGAGACUUUGUGUCAUCCACUUCAUCCUCUUUGGUGCCAUCGUCAAUGCCAGUGCCACCGUCUUCUUCCUCUAAUCCCUCACUUCAUGCAUCUUCAUCAUUCACACAUCCAUGCAAUGAUGGACAGAGGGAGAGUUUAGAGAAUGACAUAUACGACCCCUUUCACCCAACAGAGGGUGAGGGGGAGAGAGACCGGGUGUCCACUGAGGACGAGGAGGAAGAGGUUGAUAAGUAUGAUCCAUUUGAACCGACAGGUUCUCCAGCCUCUGAAACAGAGGAGGAAAAAAGAUGUGUGGAUGAGGAGAAUGAAGGAGGAAGCAGCAUUAAUAGCAGAGGGAAUGUUGCAAAAGCUGAUAGAGCAUUGGAAAAGGGGACGCCUGCUGGCACAGAGGGGGGUCAUCCAGAUUCAACAGAAAUUGACGCCCCAUCUUCAAUGUUCUAUAAUGUCCCUUUAGAACUCAACAGUAAGCGAUCCAUCAAAGACAGAAUAAGGGAACAGGGAAAAAAUCAAAGAGAACGGGCAACAGACUCUGAACACUCUGAGAUAGAAGAAGGAGAGAUAGUGGGAGCCAAUGAAAGAGGAAGAGAACGAGUGAUUGAGAGAAGGAGGGAGGUGUUGCUUCCAUCUUCAAGCAGUCCCUCUUACCUUCAAGCAGGUAUCCCAAAACCUGAGAGGAUCUUAAGGGUUUUAGAGGGUGAUGGGUUUGUAUCUGUCCGUGCUGAUGAAGAAUGGGAGAGGGAGCCAGUAGCUUCUGUGGGCGUCGGAGAUCUGAGACGAAAACUGACAAGUAGGAGGAAAGAGAGGUUCAGAUCAUGCCCUUCUUCUGCAUCCAUAUCACCUCCACCUGUUCCUGUUUUGCCUUUGCCCUCUCCUUCCUUUACCAAUUCUCCACCUCUGUCCACUGAUAAAGGGAGGAGUCGCAAAUCCUCCAAGAGUUCAAAGGACAGGGAUAGACGCAAGCGGAAAGAGGGAAGAGUAGAGAAGGAAAAGAGGAAAAAAAGGAAAGAAGAAAAGGAGUCAGCUGAGAGUAAAAGAGAAAGCAAAGAGAGGGACAGUGAAAAAAGGAGUAUAAAAGAGAACAAAGACAAGGAUAGGGAUAGAGGGAGAAGUAGCCGAAGUAAUAGCCACAAGAGGAAAAAGAGACACAGGAGCACUCCAGAACAUUCCUCCCGCUCCCACUCCCAGAACGCCUCACGACACACACACAGUCGCAGAUCCUGGUCCAGUCACUCUGAGGAUCGCCACAAAGAUAGAGACCGAGAUAAAGAGAGGGAAAGAGAACCAGAAAGGAACCAUGAAAGAGACAGGGAUAGGGACCGGUGGCGAGAUGACAGGGGUAGAGAACGAGACGGAGACUCCAGGAGAAGAGAUGAACGAAGGAGAGAUAGGGAUGAUGAUAUCAGAAGGUCAAGCAGCCGAGAGAGAGGCAGUACAAAGAGGAGCAGAGGAAGUGACAGUGACAGGAGAGAACGAGAGAAAGAGAUGGUUGGAGAAAGAGAUCGAGACAGGGACAGGAGAAGAGAUAUUAGACCUGUUGUACCCCCGUCCAUUCAGGAUCUCAAUGGCUCUGAUCUUUUUGCGAUCAAACGUACCAUCACUGUUACCACCACUACAACAACCACCACACUACCAGGUUCACCACCCCAUAGCCAACGGCACUCCCGCAGCCGAUCCCAGAGCUCAGACAAACAUCGUAAGAGGAAGAAGAAACGAAGGAGACGAUCAGAUGAUGAGGAAAGAAAGGACGAGGAGCAUAGGAGCAGGUCCCGGCCCACCUCCCUCACUCCUCUUCGUUAUCAUGGAUAUGAAUCAGAUCGACUCUCAGAUCGUCCUGAGGUAGACCUGCUCUCUUUGGAUGGGGAAGCACUGGAUUCAGACUACCCUUCACUAGAGGACUCACCACUACUUCCUCCUCCUCCUGAGCCCCCUCUACCCAAUCCUAAAAUUAAAUCCGGAGCGCCCAAAACUAGCCAAUAUCAUCUAAAGAAGAAAUCCAGGUCUAGCAAGACAGUUGGCAACACCACCUCCCUUCAGCCUACAGCAUCCUCAUCCACUACUAAGCGAGGACGGAAAACCGGUAAGGAAAAAAUGGGGAAGAAGGAUGCCGGGCAUUCUGGCAGGUCCAAGAAGCUCAGUGGUGGUAGCAGAAAGGGUAAGCUCCAGUCUAAAGUCUCUGUCCUGGUUCGUGAGGGAGUUAGUAGCACAACUGGGAACUCUGGGAAGUUGGGCCUUGACCUUCUUGGAACUGGUGGUGUUGUAAGUGGAGCUUCAGGGCCCUCAGUUGUUGGUGGGUCUAUUGCCGUGGUUUUCCGCCGAGACAACGAGAGCCGAUCACCAUUUCUUAAGCCCUGCUCAGAGACACUGGCUCUUCCAGGGAGAGGCAAAGACCCAAGCAAAACUGGGAAACAACGCAACAUACUCGGGCCUCCAUCAUCAACAAAUCCAAGUGGACUAAAGUUGAAGAAGACCAAGCCAAGCUCUGCUACAUCCACAUCUUCAUCUGCCUCUUCCCCAACUUCCUCAUUGGCAGCGAAACGUAGAAGGAGGCCUGGAAAGAAGCCCAGAGAGAAAGGGAUAAGUGUGGAUGGAAGUGACUCUAAAGGCGUUAAUAGUACUUGUAGCACAGUUGGUGGUGGUUGGCCGGGAGUAUCAACAGAAAUGCAUCCAUUGGUUGGGGUUGGAUCCAAGCCAUCCAGUCCUCCUUUAGCUCUUCCUGGUCCCACUCCCUCCUCCUCUUCAUCAUCCUCCACUUCCUCGUCAGCAAGUAUCCUUCCUCCAUCUUCCUCACCACCACACACAUCCCCGUUAUCUUUGCCUCCGUCUCGAGAUACUAGAGAGUCAUCCCCAGAUUCUCAAACUGUUGAUAGUAGCUGCAAGACACCAGAGCCUUCCUUCCUCUUGGAGGAAGGCCCUGGUCAGUCCAAAGCCUUGUCUCUCACACCCUCAAAGUCCCCCACCAGCCCUCCCAGUCUGCUGUCAUCACAGAUCAGGGGGGAUACCAUAUCUCAGUCCACUUCCAGUGCUAAACCUCUCCCACCAGAUGAUCAGAAGGGCUCACCACCAUGCUCUACUUCAAUAGCUUCAGUGUCGGUCUCCGUCUCUCAUUCCAGUGCUCCUCUGGCAAAUGACCCUUCUUCAUCCUCCUCUUCUUCAGUGUCCUCAUCUUCAGUUAAUAAGCCACCACCACCUCCACCUCCCCCCCCAUCGGCUCCACCAUUACCCUGGAGUUUACAAACCGGAGUGGACUGCACUGCUGG
ensembl:lncRNA